UGUUAGGAACGUCACCAAUUGACUUAAGUCAAAUUUUGACUUAAGUCAUGACUUAAGUCAAAUUUUGACGUAUACGUCGACUGCGACUGAAAUAAAAUUUAUGCGUGACUUUUACGUUGACGUUUGACGUGAAAAAAAUUUGGAAUCUUAAAAAAAGUCAAAAUAAAAACGUCAUCUGGCAAUGUUGACGAACAAUGCCGUGGAUCGGAAGAUUUUUUCGUCUGUAAUUUUCGUAAAACAUAUCAGUUGUCAUCAUAAAGGAUAAAAGGGUUGUCAUUGGAUAAAAGACAGAAGGAGCCAAGAAGAAGCCAAAAUAAAACUCAGGCAGUUGAUCCAGGACUCUACGUGUUCACCAGUUUUGGAAAAAAGCAAAACAUCCUUAGCCGAAGAGUUUUUGCUGUUUGAUGAAAUUCAACCUUCAGGCAGACCGGAUGACGAGGUUUUCAAAUGACGUAUGACGUGCAAAUUUUUU